CUACGGUUGCUCCAGUGAGGAAUAUUGCACAAUGGGGGGAACCCUGAUGCAGCAACGCCGCGUGGAGGAUGACGCAUUUCGGUGUGUAAACUCCUUUUAUAUGUCAAGAAAAUGACGGUAGCAUAUGAAUAAGCACCGGCUAACUCCGUGCCAGCAGCCGCGGUAAUACGGAGGGUGCAAGCGUUACUCGGAAUCACUGGGCGUAAAGGACGCGUAGGCGGGUUGGAAAGUCAGGUGUGAAAUCCUACAGCUUAACUGUAGAACUGCACUUGAAACUUCUAAUCUAGAGUAUGGGAGGGGGAGAUGGAAUUAGUGGUGUAGGGGUAAAAUCCGUAGAUAUCACUAGGAAUACCUAAAGCGAAGGCAAUCUCCUGGAACAUUACUGACGCUAAGGCGUGAAAGCGUGGGGAGCAAACAGGAUUAGAUACCCGGGUAGUC
rnacentral:rRNA from 1 species